AUGAUUAACGUAUUAAGUUUAAACAAUAGGUACAGGUGGCGUUCUAUGGCGUUCUAAAUUGGCUGAAUGUACUGUAGUUUAGUGUGCUUUGAGUGAUAUAAAUUCAGACAUGUUGUGAAUACCGUUCAAAACAAAGACGAAAACGAAAUGAACGCAAAAAUUCCAAGAACAUAAGUAUAUACUUCCUUAUCGAAAGUUCGAUAUCAACAGAAUAAAUGCUGUUUAUAUUUUUGUUUUUCGAAGUGUUCAAUUAGACAUUCUUUCCGGUCGUUGUGUAAUGGUGGAAAAACGUGGCGUCGCGUUAUGUCGAAUCUUUCUGGCGUCUAACAUUUAUUUUAAAUUAUAAAUUCGAUACAAAAUAUUUCGUGAUAAAGAGUUUAAAUUGAUUUCGUGAGUGAAAAUAAUGAAGAAAAAGUGUAGAAAAUAUGAAAAAUAUGAAGAUACCUGAUGAUUCUUGUAACUUAUUGAUAAACAUCUUAUCUCGGUACUUUAGCUUUCUAAGAGCUUCUUUAUAUUUGAUCCAUAGAUCAUGAUGUGACAAGAAGUAGUCGACAGUUUCAGCUCGUCCAAUUCUACACACAGAAUACAAGGAGGAGUAGAGUGAAAAGCGAUACACCACGAGGCCACCAACCGCGCUCCAAUCAUCGACAUUUGCGGGGAGCGAGCUGUCGCUCUUACCGCGUGAUGCAACGUCGUGACAGACAGUGGAUAUAUGCUAUUCAGUAGUAUGAGUAGACGAUUGCAGAUCCGAUGCUCGGAAACAGUCCCCCCGAGUGCUCUUGGAGCAUCGACUCUCGUGAUCGUCGAGGCUUCGAUUGGUCAGUACUCGAUGUCCCCGGUGCCGUUUGAAAUAAAGCGGGAGAGAUCUCGAGUAUAGUGACGGAGGAAUGGGAAUUAUUAUGAUAAACAGCGAGGCAAUCAUUUUUUAUCUUUUCUUUUCUUUUUGCUCUGUUUUUUGUAUUUUUAUUGUGUCUCUGACACGAUUGAGCAUCGAUUUGAGCGUAUAUCGUCGAAUUAGUCGGUUUGGAUAAACGAUUGUUUGCCCAAAGUGAUUAAAAUAGAUAAAAUUUAUAAAUAUAUAUUGUGAAAUUAGUAUUAGAAUAUAUUAGAAAAAAUUGUAACAUAAUUGUCUUUAAAUAAAUUCACAUGAUGUAUAUUUUGAAAUGUAAAUUAAAACUACGAUAUGAUUUUAGAUAUUUCGAUUAUUUGCAUAUCGAAAUUUGGGUUAUGAAGACGUUUUAUAUUUU